CCGCGGACUGACGGAAUAGUCCGUUGAAGGGUGUAGAUGUUGAUCUUUGCAGGCAAAUCCACAAAGAGAGUCGAACCUGAUAGUAUGGAACGUUCUUCGGAACAAUCCAAUAGUGCGUGUAAACAUACUCCCAAGAAAAUCCGCUAAACUUAAUCUUUAAGGUACCCGUACCGCAAACGGACACACGUAGUCGGGUUGAAUAUACUAAGGCGCUUGAGUGAUUCACGGUUAAGGAACUAGGCAAAUUGACCCUGUAACUUCGGGAUAAAGGGUCCCAACGAGAGUUGGGCGCAGAGAAUAGGUCCAGGCAACUGUUUAACAAAAACACAGGGCUGUGCCAAAUUGAAAGAUUACGUAUACAGCCUGACACCUGCCCGGUGCUGGAAGGUUAAGAGGAGAUGUCAUCGCAAGAGAA
rnacentral:rRNA from 1 species